CAGUCGCCACGGGAAUACAGAGGGUGCGAGCGUUAAUCGGAUUUACUGGGCGUAAAGCGUGCGUAGGCGGCUUCUUAAGUCGGAUGUGAAAUCCCUGAGCUUAACUUAGGAAUUGCAUUCGAUACUGGGAAGCUAGAGUAUGGGAGAGGAUGGUAGAAUUCCAGGUGUAGCGGUGAAAUGCGUAGAGAUCUGGAGGAAUACCGAUGGCGAAGGCAGCCAUCUGGCCUAAUACUGACGCUGAGGUACGAAAGCAUGGGGAGCAAACAGGAUCAGAGACCCCCGUAGUCCCUGUCUCUUAUAC
rnacentral:rRNA from 1 species